UGGGGAAUAUUGCACAAUGGGCGCAAGCCUGAUGCAGCCAUGCCGCGUGUGUGAAGAAGGCCUUCGGGUUGUAAAGCACUUUCAGCGGGGAGGAAGGCGAUAAGGUUAAUAACCUUGUCGAUUGACGUUACCCGCAGAAGAAGCACCGGCUAACUCCGUGCCAGCAGCCGCGGCAAUACGGAGGGUGCAAGCGUUAAUCGGAAUUACUGGGCGUAAAGCGCACGCAGGCGGUCUGUCAAGUCGGAUGUGAAAUCCCCGGGCUCAACCUGGGAACUGCAUUCGAAACUGGCAGGCUAGAGUCUUGUAGAGGGGGGUAGAAUUCCAGGUGUAGCGGUGAAAUGCGUAGAGAUCUGGAGGAAUACCGGUGGCGAAGGCGGCCCCCUGGACAAAGACUGACGCUCAGGUGCGAAAGCGUGGGGAGCAAACAGGAUUAGAUACCCUGGUAGUCCACGCUGUAAACGAUGUCGAUUUGGAGGUUGUGCCCUUGAGGCGUGGCUUCCGGAGCUAACGCGUUAAAUCGACCGCCUGGGGAGUACGGCCGCAAGGUUA
rnacentral:rRNA from 1 species